UACGCUGGCGGCACGCCUAAACAUGCAAGUCGAACGAAGUAGCAAUACUUAGUGGCAGACGGGUGAGUAACAUGUAGGUAUCUACCCUUUGGCCUGGAAUAACACGAGGAAACUUGUGCUAAUACCGGAUAAGUCUUUACGGAGAAAGCUUUAUGCACCAUUGGAUGAGCCUGCACUUGAUUAGUUUGUUGGUGGGGUAAUGGCCUACCAAGACUGUGAUCAAUAGCUGAUUUGAGAGGAUGAUCAGCCACAUUGGGACUGAGACACGGCCCAAACUCCUACGGGAGGCAGCAGUGGGGAAUCUUGCACAAUGGAGGAAACUCUGAUGCAGCGAUGCCGCGUGAGUGAAGAAGGCCUUUGGGUUGUAAAGCUCUUUCGUCGGGGAAGAAAAUGACUGUACCCGAAUAAGAAGGUCCGGC
rnacentral:rRNA from 1 species